GGGGAAUAUUGGACAAUGGGCGCAAGCCUGAUCCAGCAGUGCCGCGUGAGUGAUGAAGGCCUUAGGGUUGUAAAGCUCUUUUACCCGGGAUGAUAAUGACAGUACCGGGAGAAUAAGCUCCGGCUAACUCCGUGCCAGCAGCCGCGGUAAUACGGAGGGAGCUAGCGUUGUUCGGAAUUACUGGGCGUAAAGCGCGCGUAGGCGGCUUAUCAAGUCAGGGGUGAAAUCCCGGGGCUCAACCCCGGAACUGCCCUUGAAACUGGUUGGCUAGAAUCCUGGAGAGGCGAGUGGAAUUCCGAGUGUAGAGGUGAAAUUCGUAGAUAUUCGGAAGAACACCAGUGGCGAAGGCGACUCGCUGGACAGGUAUUGACGCUGAGGUGCGAAAGCGUGGGGAGCAAA
rnacentral:rRNA from 1 species